CAGCGCUGCGCCGCGCGCCUUAUCAUCGAUGCCUUGCCGAUUGGUGGAGUGAAGUGUUUGCGCGACUGAUACCGCCCGCGGGGGCCAAUCGAUUCCCUGUUUCGUCGAAUCUUAUCAAAAUCAUGGUGGACGUUCGUACCUCGUGUCGGUUCCCUGAUAUCGUAUCUAAAGAUAUCGACGAAAGUAUAAAUAUGAGCCCAUCGAUCGAUCGGCUCUCUAUCGAAGUGCAAGCUGUGAUCGCUGUUCAUGUGGGGUGAGUCGCGCGUGCGUUAUUGGACUGUUUGAAAUCUCACCGGCAGCUUCAACUCCUCAGGGUAGCUGCUACUGAGUCUCCAACCUACGUAGAGCCGAUCCUGGUCGUUGACAGCGUGCGGAAAUUCUUACUCAGGGACACAAGGUGGAAAUUAUACGAUGUACUACGCGUCCAGUAAUAUUACAGGCCUCACGUCUGAGUUGGACAGGGGAUCUUGACAGUUUAAUGUCACUUGCUGCCAGAUCUAUCUUUCCAGCUCACGCGUGAGGCCGCCCCACGCCACCAGGAAGAAUCUAUCAACUCGUAAAGCACAUCCCAGCGACUAAAAUGAAGAUGUGAGCGUACCAGAUUAAGUGGAGGUGUGAUCUCUUCACUUUUUAUGUUUAAAGUGAGAUUCAACUCCUCCAACUUAACCCUGAAUCGCAAUUUCUGCGCACUCCUGAAGAAGACUCUGACGUAAUGAUUUCUUAUGUUUACGUGAAUGUUAAACAUUGAAAUAAAACUAUUUUGCGGAUUUUAUUGCGGUUUUUACAUUAUAAUUUUCUAUUCUAUUUCUAGACAAAGUUAUUUACCUACAUUUUACAGUUAUACAAUAUUGAAAAAUGUAGGUAGUUAUUAUAACUUUGACUUCUUGGAUGACCAACAUCACAGUUCGCCCUUAAACCAUGAAGACUGCAAAGUCUUCGAAACGUAGGAAGAAAAUUAUAAUUUAAAACCGCGAUAAAAUCUGCAAAAUAGUUUUAUUCAAAGAUCUUGAUGCUUCAUCUGUAGAAAUAUUUAAUUUUGUACUUUCAUAAAAUUUUAUGUCAUAAAUAAUAAUGUACCUAUCUCUCGAAAUAAUACAUAAUGUAUGAUGUUACAAUAUAAAAUGUUACAAUUCACAUUAUAACCAUUCAUAUUAUACCUUCCCUACAUCAAAUACUGUUGUGUUUUUAUUGUAAAAAUGAUUUAUUAUAAUAUAACUAUGGCUGAUAA